AAUAUUGGACAAUGGGGGAAACCCUGAUCCAGCCAUCCCGCGUGUACGAUGAAGGCCUUCGGGUUGUAAAGUACUUUUGGCAGAGAAGAAAAGGUACCUCCUAUUACGAGGUACUGCUGACGGUAUCUUCAGAAUAAGCACCGGCUAACUACGUGCCAGCAGCCGCGGUAAUACGUAGGGUGCAAGCGUUAAUCGGAAUUACUGGGCGUAAAGCGUGUGUAGGCGGUUCGGAAAGAAAGAUGUGAAAUCCCAGGGCUCAAACUUGGAACUGCAUUUUUAACUACCAAGCUAGAGUAUGUCAGAGGGGAGUAGAAUUCCACGUGUAGCAGUGAAAUGCGUAGAUAUGUGGAGGAAUACCGAUGGCGAAGGCAGCCCCCUGGGAUAAUACUGACGCUCAGACACGAAAGCGUGGGGAGCAAACA
rnacentral:rRNA from 1 species